rnacentral:ncRNA from 1 species
CACUGUGAGGUGGAAUCUGAAGGAAGUUGGCGGCAAAGCCUUGGUCUGAGGUACACGAAUCACAUUUGAGGCUUAAUUCUGUGGGCAAGUCUGCAUAACAAGAUGAAACCCAAUAACUAUCCGAAACAGAAUGAGUAAAUGUGGCAGAUAUAUGAGGUGAAAGUGC